UACGGGGGGGGCAAGCGUUGUUCGGAAUUACUGGGCGUAAAGGGCUCGUAGGCGGCCAACUAAGUCGGAUGUGAAAUCCCCAGGCUUAACCUGGGAACUGCAUCCGAUACUGGAAAGCUCGAGUCCGGGAGAGGUGAGUGGAACUGCGAGUGUAGAGGUGAAAUUCGUAGAUAUUCGCAAGAACACCAGUGGCGAAGGCGGCUCACUGGCCCGGUACUGACGCUGAGGUGCGAAAGCGUGGGGAGCAAACAGG
rnacentral:rRNA from 1 species